rnacentral:lncRNA from 1 species
UAUUCAUGGAUUCUAUAUUUGUGUAUUCGACUACUAACAUAAAGCAAAGGAUGAAAAUGUUGGGAUGAAAGGUUUGCAUCCGAUGGAGAUACAGAAAUUGGGGUUUUCUGGAUUGCAGCAAUAUGGAAAGCUAAGAUUUUCUUUGAUAUCUUUUUAUUUAAUUAAAAAUAAUAAAAUUUUAAUUCUAUAACAUCAAGAUUCUAACACAAGGAGAGGUUUUGUUUUUUUCUCCAACAUAGAAGUGAAGAACUAGAUCAAGUUUAAUUUAGCUUUAAUUUGGAAUAAUAUCACAAGUGGCAUGGAGAUCCAGGUGAGGAAGACUGAUUCAAAACAUAUUAAAAUAAGCAAAGCAGCUUGUUUACAAUAUGCCAAGAAAAAAAGGUUUACAGAUGUUAUAAAAUAAAACUAACUAAACAAUUUGAUUAGAGUGGAUCAAGAUACAAACAACAGGAUUGGAUGAAAAGAAGAGACUGAAAGUGAUUCGGAUAUGUCACUAUACUUGGAGAUAAUCAUUGAAGGAUUGAAUUGUCCUCUUUCAUUGAAUUUCAGAGGUCAAAGUAUCUUCAUUACUGUAGAAGUUGUAAUCAAAUUUGCUGUACAAUUCAGAGUCUUUUGUCCUUUUUUAAUAUUUCCUUUGAUUUCAUCUUGUCCACUGUUCAGUAAUUAUUCCUGUCUCACCCAUAUUUCUUGUGUUAAUCAAGUUUUGUCUUCUUUUCAUAAUGGAUAUUAUUAUUGUUUCUUCAGGUAUUAAGUCUGUUUUCUUAAAAAUUAUAAGUUGCAGAUACGUCCACAUCAUGUCUCAUAAACAGGAAUGACAAGACAGGAACCUGGCACGCUGAUCAUCGGUGGCAUAUUUCUUGAUCAAUAUAAAGAUCUAUGGAGAGUUAUAAAGAUCUCCCAGACCAGGAGAUCUUUAUAUCUCUCCACAGAAAGUGAUUGUGAAUCAUCAUAAUGAUUCACAUUUAACAGGAUAAAGAUUGGAAGAGAACUUGCUUUAAACUUCAAAAACAGAAAAAUGUCUGUGGAUGUCGAAGUUGAUUUUAUGACUCUCUUUCUCUUGGUGACAUAUGCCAAAUCUGCCAAAAUUUAUUUAAAUAAUUUGGAAAAAUGAAUUUAGGAAUAUAUUUGUUUGUUCAUAUCUUGAAUGUUCUAAAGACCAAUAUAACUGAUAGUUUUAACCAAAAUAAAUUUAUGCUGUUGUGUGUGGUUUAUCGGACCUUACAGCACUUUCAGACUUCCUGUUUCAAAAUAUUAAAAAACAUUUUUAGGGAAGAAGUUUCUUUGAUGAUGAGACUUUCUUUGCUUUGGAGAGCUUGUUUGCCUUCAA